AGUGAACGCUGGCGGCAUGCCUUACACAUGCAAGUCGAACGGUAACAGGGGGAUUGGUGGUGGCGAGGUGCGUAAGGGGGGGGAAUGUGUCGUAAGGUGCCGAAAGAUGCGGGGUAACUUAGGGUAAUCUGGGCUAAUACCUUCUGUGAUCUGAUGAUUCCACCGGGGGACGGCACGGCAAUGUUUGGCCUCGCGCCGUUGGAUCGGCCGAUGUCGGAUUAGGUAGUUGGCGGGGUAAAGGCCUACCAAGCCGACGAUCGGUAGCUGGUCUGAGAGGACGAACAGCCACACUGGCACUGAGACACGGCCCAGACACCUACGGGAGGAAGCAGUGGGGAAUUUUGGACAAUGGGCGAAAGCCUGAUCCAGCAAUGCGGCGUGCGGGAAGAAGGACUUCGGGUUGUAAAACGAUUUUGUUCGGAACGAAAAGAAUCUGGUUAAUACCUGGCGCUGAUGACGGUACCCUAAGAAUAAGCACCGGCUAACUUCGUG
rnacentral:rRNA from 1 species